UGCUGUUUCUUAAGGCAGUUGUCCCUUAAAACAGUGCUCAGCUUUUGGUCAGGCGCCGUGGCUCGUGCCUGGAAUUCCAGCCCUUUGGGAGGCCGAAGUGGGCAGAUCGCUUGAGCUCACAAGUUCAAGACCAGUUGGGGCAACAUGGCGAAACCCCAUCUCUACAAAAAGUAUAAAAAUUAGCCAGGUGUGGUGGUGCAUGCCUGUAGCCCCAGCUACUCACGUGAGAGGAUGGCUUGAGCCUGGAAGGUGGAAGCUGCAGUGAGCUGAGAUCGUCUGCAGUGAGCUGAGAUCUUGCCACUGCACUCCAGCCUGGGCGAUACAGCCAGAUCUUGUCUCACAAAAAAUUGUUUUAAGAAAGAAAAAUAGAAAAGGAAAAGAAUGCUCAGAUUUUGAAGCUUGGUUUCCCAUAAUUUAGGAACUUUUCCAAAGUGACCAAGGCUGGGGAUGUGUUUUGGGGUGAAGUGUGCUGCUAAUGAGCCACUCCUCAGGGUGUCAACUGAGAGUCAGGGGACUCUAGGUAGUGGCGUGACCAGUCCCUUAUUUAUACCUUUCCAGAUAAGUGGGAGUUCCAGAAAUGUUCUCCUGUGAGGGGUGUCCUGUGAGGCCACUGCGCACCCAGGACAACAGUUCUGACAUCUCUGCCAAGUCUCUGGUUGCCCAGAGCACCUGCAUGGGUCGCAGACAGCAACCGACUCUUCUCUUUGGGUUGAGGGAACUCACCCUCAUGCACCUUCCCACAUAGGACAGACAGGAACUGGCCCCAAAUAAAAAGACAAGUCUGAACUACACGCAACGGGGAGCAGUUGAAAUUGUUAUUAUUAUUAUUAUUAUUUUGAGACAGAGUCUCGCUGUGUUGCCCGGGCUAGAGUGCGAUGGCGCCAUCUUGGCUCACUGCAACCUCUGCGCCUGCUGUUCACCUGGAUUUGUUCCUAACCAUGUUCCUGCAUUACUUUGAUAAAAGGCUCUAAUUUUACUGAAAAAGCAUUUACAGAAUGAAUGAAAAGAGGGAGGUGCCCGCUUCAGCUGGAGGUCACUUGGGCGCUGUGUGCACAGGUGUGUGGAUGGCAGCACGGCCUCAUCAAGUUCCCAUCCAGAGCUCCCCGGUGACCAGGGGCCAGGCUCAGGGCUGCAGGUGGGAGCUGGCAGGGGAGAUGAUGCUGUGUGGGGUGGCCCUGCCCUCUCUCCCCGGGACCCUCUGUCUCCCGCAGUCUCAGGCAGCUGGUCCACCAGUUCAGUGGUGCAGGAGCCUGGAGGGGCUCAGCCCUGGGGCAGCUGCUCUGGGGGCUCAGGGGGGUCAGGCCAAUUUCUACACUUCCCCAGCCUCAAAACAAGGGCAGGCAGGCAGGGGAGCAGGUCCGAGGAAGCACAGGUCACUGAGGUCGGACGUGUGUGUCCACCUCUCCGCACGGGCACUGGUAUGCGAGAGCAGCCAAGAGGGCUCGCCCAGCUGGAACAGCUGGGGAAACCCAAGCCCAGAGAGGGGCCCAACCCAGGACUGCCGGGGGCGACGCAGGGGCUCUGGUGGCCAGAACAGAGAGACAGGACACAGGCAUGCCACUGGGCAUUUAUUGACACGGAGCAGCGCGGUCCUCAGUGCCCCGCUGGCCAGCAGGCACACAGGGCACGGCGCUCUGCCUGCAGCAGUAGGGUCUCCGUCUGCAAAGCAACAAGAGGCCUGAGGGUGCAGCCCAGCUGCCCACUGGCAUUCCCCUGGGCCUCCACCCACCCAAGGCAGCCCUAUCUCCACCGGCUCCUGAGAUAGACAAGGUCAGGCCCUGGCUCUAACCCCCACACCCACAGCCUCCCACUCAUCUCUUCCCUCUGCAGUGGCUCCCACUGGUGGCGCCUGCCUGGGGUCUGCUGGUGCCCACGCCAUGCCAGCGUGCCCACCUGCCUUCUUCCAGCUCCCACACCAUCCGCAGGGGUCCACUGUCCCCCACUCCCUCCCACCCUCAUGCCUAAGGAUAGGUGGGGGCUGCUCCUCCCAAGAGCUCAGCUCCAGGCUCUGUGAGUGGGGAGAGGGCUCCAGGUCUUAGUCCGAGCCCUUUGGAGUGUUCCCAAGAAGCACACUAGGGCUGGUGGGGGGUGGGACC
rnacentral:lncRNA from 1 species